rnacentral:pre_miRNA from 1 species
CAAGUACUCUCUCCGUCCGGAAUUACUUGUCAUCAAAAUGGAUGUGUCUAGAACUAAAAUACAUCUAGAUACAUCCAUUUCAAUGACAAGUAUUUUCGGACGGAGGGAGUACAAG